rnacentral:rRNA from 1 species
GGAGCGUGUGGUUUAAUUCGAUGCAACGCGAAGAACCUUACCUGGGCUCGAACGGCUCACGAAAGCGCCUGGAAACAGGUGUUUCCCGCAAGGGACGGGAGUCGAGGUGCUGCAUGGCUGUCGUCAGCUCGUGUCGUGAGAUGUUGGGUUAAGUCCCGCAACGAGCGCAACCCUUGCCCUGUGUUGCCACUCCGAAAGGAAGCACUCUCAGGGGACCGCCAGCGAUAAGCUGGAGGAAGGUGGGGAUGACGUCAAGUCAGCAUGGCCUUUAUAUCUUGGGCA